rnacentral:rRNA from 1 species
AUUGAACGCUGGCGGCAUGCCUUACACAUGCAAGUCGAACGGUAACAGGUCUUCGGAUGCUGACGAGUGGCGAACGGGUGAGUAAUACAUCGGAACGUGCCUAGUAGUGGGGGAUAACUACUCGAAAGAGCGGCUAAUACCGCAUGAGAUCUACGGAUGAAAGCAGGGGAUCGCCAGACCUUGUGCUACUAGAGCGGCCGAUGGCAGAUUAGGUAGUUGGUGGGAUAAAAGCUUACCAAGCCGACGAUCUGUAGCUGGUCUGAGAGGACGAUCAGCCACACUGGGACUGAGACACGGCCCAGACUCCUACGGGAGGCAGCAGUGGGGAAUUUUGGACAAUGGGCGCAAGCCUGAUCCAGCAAUGCCGCGUGCAGGAUGAAGGCCUUCGGGUUGUAAACUGCUUUUGUACGGAACGAAAAGCCCUGGGUUAAUACCCUGGGGUCAUGACGGUACCGUAAGAAUAAGCACCGGCUAACUACGUGCCAGCCGCCGCAGUAACAC